GGUUCGCCACAGACUCAUCAUUGAGUAAACGUUUGUUAGGCAAGAGUAACACUCUUGCCUAACAAACAUAGCUUCAUGUCAUAAUAUCAGAUAAAGAACAUACUCAGAGGCAUUCAGAAAUUGGUUCCCCCACGUACCUCGCAGAGAUUACCUAUAGAUAACAAACUUUUCCAAUCCCUAUCCUACCAAUUAGAUUUAAAACCAUUUAAUUCUACCACCAAUUCGGUCAUUAAAG